rnacentral:rRNA from 1 species
GAGUAACACGUGACUACCUGCCCUUGAGUGGGGGAUAACUUCGGGAAACCGAGGCUAAUACCGCAUAACAUCGCAAGAUCAAAGGAGCAAUCCGCUGAAGGAGGGGGUCGCGGCUGAUUAGCUAGUUGGUGAGGUAACGGCUCACCAAGGCGAAGAUCAGUAGCCGGCCUGAGAGGGCGCACGGCCACACUGGAACUGAAACACGGUCCAGACUCCUACGGGAGGCAGCAGUGGGGAAUUUUGCGCAAUGGGGGAAACCCUGACGCAGCAACGCCGCGUGGAGGAUGAAGUCCCUUGGGAUGUAAACUCCCUUCGAUCGGGACGAUUAUGACGGUACCGGAAGAAGAAGCACCGGCUAACUCUGUGCCAGCAGCCGCGGUAAUACAGAGGGUGCAAGCGUUGUUCGGAAUUAUUGGGCGUAAAGGGCGCGUAGGCGGUGCGGUAAGUCUGUGGUGAAAUCUCCGGGCUCAACUCGGAAAUUGCCAUAGAAACUGCCGUGCUGGAGUGUGGGAGAGGUGAGUGGAAUUCCCGGUGUAGCGGUGAAAUGC